rnacentral:lncRNA from 1 species
GUCUGCAUUCCCCCAGCCCCUGGCAACCACUGUCCUACUCUGUUUCUGUGAGUUGUGACAGUUUUAGAUCCACAUAUGAGUGACAUGCAGUAUCUGUCUUUCUGUGCCUGGGUCGUUUCACUUAACAUAAUGACUUUGGGUUCAUCCACGUUGUCACACAUGACAGGAUUUCCUUCGUUUUCAUAGCUGAAUAAUAUUCAGUUGUGUACACACACCACAUUGUCAUUAAACACCAAAAAUUUUUAGGUUGUUUCCAUAUCUCGGGUAUUGUGAAUAACGCUGCAAUGAACAUGGGGGUCCAGGUGUCUCUUUGAGCUUCUGAUUUCAUGCCCUUUGGAUAUACACCCAGAAAUGAGGUUGCUGGAGCACAUGGUAGUCCUGUGACUUUUGAGGAACCUCCAGAGUUUUCCACAAUAGUUGUACUAAUUUACAUUCCCACCAACAGCACACAGGGUUCCCUUUUCUCCACAUCCUCACCAACACUAUCUUUUGUCCUCUUGGUAACAGCCACUCUAACUGGAGCGAGAUGAGAUGAUACUCAUUGGGGUUUUAAUUUGCAUUUCUCUGGUGCUUGGUGAUGUUGAGCAUUUUUUCAUACAUCAACUGGCCAUUUGUAUGUCUUCUCUGGAAAAAUAUCUAUUCAAGUCCUUUGCCCAUUUUUAGUAGGGUUGUUUUUUAGUAGGGUUUAGUAGGUUGGUUUUAGUAGGGCUUUUUUUUAUUUUUUAUUUUUUUUGCUAUUUUAGAUACUAAGAUAUCAUUAGAUAUAUGGUUUGGAAAAUAUUUUUUUCCCAACCUGUAGUUUUGCUGAUUUUUUUUCUUGGCUGUACUGACACUUCUUAACU